rnacentral:lncRNA from 1 species
ACUUUUGUGGUCCGCUUUCCUUGCUGAUGGAGAGGAAUAGUGUCACUCCCAUUUGACUCGGUAACCCGGCAGCUUCCUGUCUUAAACGCAGAGCUGGCGCGCAGGACACUCCUCCUGCAGACACUUAUUGUAAGUGUGCGUGUGUGUGCGUGUGCAGGGAGGCGCGUGCAUACGGCCGCAUUCCACCCGGGGACAGCGACCCUCAUGAAACAUGCUUAGCGAUCCGAAAGAGCGGGGGAAUGCAGUAUGCGGCUCCAUUUGCGAAGGGAGAAAUCCAGGAGCCUCGGAGGUUCUAAAGGAAUCCUUUUUGCCAAGGAGAGGAGGGGUGACUGUUCAGCUAAGACUUCAAAACCAAGUCGCCCGCCCCCCUCUAACUUCUCUACUCUGAUUGAGGAGCUCCCAGACCGGUCAUCUCGUUUUCUUUGUUUUAAAAUCCUUUAAACUAAUUUUGCCGGAGAGCAGGGCCCAUUUGAAACGAGAAUUAGGAAUCCAACGGCAAGGGUGGGAGCCCCAGUUGGUUUCUCCCCUCCUCUCUCUUCAUCUUUUCUAGACUUUCCUUCCAGCUGUUGUCAGAAUGUCCAACUGGAAGUUCUGUUUCCUCUUCUCUUCCCCCUCCUCCCUCGGGCUCCUUCCCAUUUGCUCUUGUCUACCCACCAAACACCCGUUGUUACCCCAG